UGUGUAGGCUGUUCUCUAAGUUUGGUGUGAAAUCUCCCGGCUUAACUGGGAGGGUGCGCCGAAAACUGGAGGGCUUGAGUAUGGGAGAGGAAAGCGGAAUUCCUGGUGUAGCGGUGAAAUGCGUAGAUAUCAGGAGGAACACCUGCGGUGUAGAUGGCUUUCUGGACCAUCACUGACGCUGAGACACGAAAGCGUGGGGAGCAAACAGGAUUAGAUACCCUGGUAGUCCACGCCCUAAACGAUGCAUACUUGGUGUGAGCCGUUCAUUCGGUUCGUGCCGGAGCUAACGCGUUAAGUAUGCCGCCUGGGGAGUACGGUCGCAAGGCUGAA
rnacentral:rRNA from 1 species